rnacentral:rRNA from 1 species
AGAUUGAACGCUGGCGGCAGGCCUAACACAUGCAAGUCGAGCGGUAGAGAGGUGCUUGCAUCUCUUGAGAGCGGCGGACGGGUGAGUAAUGCCUAGGAAUCUGCCUAGUGGUGGGGGAUAACGUUCGGAAACGGACGCUAAUACCGCAUACGUCCUACGGGAGAAAGCGGGGGACCUUCGGGCCUCGCGCCAUUAGAUGAGCCUAGGUCGGAUUAGCUAGUUGGUGAGGUAAUGGCUCACCAAGGCGACGAUCCGUAACUGGUCUGAGAGGAUGAUCAGUCACACUGGAACUGAGACACGGUCCAGACUCCUACGGGAGCAGCAGUGGGGAAUAGUUGGACAA